rnacentral:rRNA from 1 species
UGCGAGUGAACCGGGAAGAGCCCAGCACCGAAUCCCUCAGCAGGUGGCUGACGGGAAGUGUGGUGUUUAGAGUGAUCGCUGUGCGUUGGACCGGUGUCUAAGUCUUCUUGACUGGGGUUCGAUGGCCCAGAGAGGGUGUCAGGCCUUUAAGGCGCUGGUUUGGCGUGCAUUGGUUGCUCGAAGAGUCGGGUUGUUUCUGAGUACAACCCAAAGCAGGUGGUAAACUCCAUCUAAGGCUAAAUAUGAGUACGAGUCCGAUAGCGAACAAGUACCGUGAGGGAAAGUUGCAAAGAACUUUGAAGAGAGAGUUCAAGAGUACGUGAAACCGCCCGGAGUGAAGCUGGUGAACCCACAGUGGUUGCAACUCGGAAUCAGUCGCACUAACUGGAACGCAUGGCUGUUUGUUGCAUGUACUGUGAGGUACGUGGGCAGAUGGUUAUGUGCCUUGAGUCUUUCUGGUGGUGUGAUGCAUUUCUGACUUGUGACACGUCACGAGUGGUGGUGUGGCAGCUAGAAGUGCUUGGAGCAGGUAGCACGCGCUCGACGUGUGUGAUGGCUCUAGGCAUUAUAGUCUGUUGUGCUAGCAAGGACAGCUUGUGCUGAGCUGAAGCGAUUCGUGCUUGAUUGGUGCACGUAGGUUGUCUGGGUAGGUGCGGCGUGUCUGGGACUGCUUUGCAGUGUCGGGCGCGUCGUGCCUGCUCGAGGGCAGCUGCGCCUGUCGCCAAGUGGAUGGUAACGAGUGGCUGUUCUGUGGCGAGUUGGUAACUCACCAGUCCCGUCUUGAACACGGACCAAGGAGUUUAGCAUGCAGGCGAGUCUGAGGGUGAAGCGAAACCCGAAGGCGCAGUGAAAGCGAAGGCUGCUCUCGAGCGGCUGAGAUGUGAUCCGGAUGCAGUGAGAGCUGUUCCGGCGCAACAUCGUCUCGUCGUGACCUUGCGAGGGUGCGGCGAAGAUUGAGCCUGCACGCUGCGACCCGAAAGAUGGUGAACUAUGCCAGAGGAGGGCGAAGCCAGAGGAAACUCUGGUGGAGGUCCGAAGCGAUUCUAACGUGCAAAUUGAUCGUCAGACUUUGGUAUAGCGGCGAAAGACUAAUCGAACCAUCUAGUAGCUGGUUCCCUCCGAAGUUUCUCUCAGGAUAGCUGGCACUGAGAAUGAUUUUCACCCGGUAAAGCGAAUGAUUAGAGUGAUUUGGGUUGAAAAGACCUAAACCUAUUCUCAAACUGUAAAUGGAUGAGUACUCUCGACUCGCUUGGAUGGAGUGAGAGUGGAA